GUAAAUAUUUUAAUUGCAAGGAAUUGAAAAAGUGGUUUUCAAUCCCACUGGUUGAUGCCAGGCCAGGUUUUUGAUUAUACAACUGAGGAUGUAGCUCUGUAGUCCUGACAGCUGAGUAGUAGAGAAGAUGCUGUUUUCUUCCCACAGAAAUACCACUUCUGGGCUUCCCUGGUGGCGCAGUGGUCGAGAGUCCGCCUGCCAAUGCAGGGGACACGGGUUCGUGCCCCGGUCCGGGAAGAUCCCACAUGCCGCGGAGCGGCUAGGCCCGUGAGCCACGGUCGCUGAGCCUGCGCGUCUGGACCCUGUGCCCUGCAACGGGAGAGGCCACAACAUUUCCUGAGUUUCUGGGAAGGCCUGGUUUCCCCAAAGGAAUGAUUUCUGGUAGAAGUCUGAAGGUCUGACCCAAGAAAAAAACUCCAGUAUAGCCAAUGAAUUGAGGACAAGAAGGUUUCCAAUCAGUGUGAUCCCAGAAGUCUCACCAAGAGAUGGUGUUGAUUCUUCUCAGUGCAAGAGUUGCUCCACCUCUCAGAGAGGAGGAACAUCAGAAGUGCCAGCCACCCUACAUAAGCUCCAAGUCUCAUCCUUUCAAAGUUCCUUUCCUGUAGUGCAACUUCUGCACAUUCAGAUGAUCUCUGGUCCAUUUUAUCAGGGAUCAUGAUUGACUGAUGGCUCCAGUUACUAUUACCAGCACAGGACAGAGCCUGGUGUGGCCAAGAAAGCGGGCCAUUCCUGUGAAUACAAGACUGCCCCAACAGGCAUACUGUUGCUGCGUUUAACCUCACUGAAGCCAGACUAAUCUAGAGAUGUUCUUAGCUUCCUGUGACUCAUAUGAAGGUUAUCAUUUUAGAAGAGACCUUGAAAACAUACUCUGGAUUUAGGGGGGAAAAAAAACUCUGACAUUUCCAAGAGGAAAAGCUUUUUUUAAGUUUUAUAUUGUAGAUGCAGAGCUUAAAGCAUUUAAACACAUACAGCAAGCAAUAUAAUAUGAAUCAUGUAACAAAAGUUAAAUUUAAGUGAAAACCUUGUGUGGUAUGUUGCAGUCACAAAAGAAGAUACAAAAUUAAUGUGGACACCUGCUUGUUUUACUUGUAUCAGGAGAAAAUAAAAUUAAUUGUCAUUUAAUGAAUUGCUUUCUGUUGUAGCACACUUAAUUAUCUCUUCCUGUAACCCCAAGAAGUAUCUUUUCAAACUCACAGCUGUAUCUGAAUAGGGGCUACCAACUAAAGAGGUAAGCAAUACUUUUUAAUAAUUACAGUGUAUUUGUUUUCAUCUGUCUUUACGGAACAUUGUAAAAUUAGACACCUGCCCCUUGAAUAAAGCAAUACCGAGCUUAAUGAAGUCUGAGAA